rnacentral:tRNA from 6 species
UGGGGUGUAGCUCAACUGGCAGAGCAUCGGAUUUUGGAUCCGAGGGUUCCUGGUUCGAAUCCAGGCACCCCAG